rnacentral:misc_RNA from 1 species
GAUGAAGAACGUAGCGAAAUGCGAUAAGUAAUGUGAAUUGCAGAAUUCAGUGAAUCAUCGAGUUUUUGAACGCAUAUUGCGCCCUCUGGUAUUCCGGGGGGCAUGCCUGUUCGAGCGUCAUUAAAUAACCCUCAAGCAUAGCUUGGUGUUGGGCUUUUCUACGUCCUUGACUGGGAUGGGCCUAAAAAUUAGUGGCGAUGGCUUUUUUACUUUCAAGCGUAGUAAAUCUCGUCUUGCUAAAGAGGAAAAAGAUUUUUUUUCUGCCAAAAAUUUUAACAUUUAAAGUUGACCUCGGAUCAGGUAGGAUUACCCGCUGAACUUAAGCAUAUCAAUAAGCGGAGGA